AACAUGAUAACUUAUUGCAACCAAAAUUGCAAUUUGAGGUAGGAACCUCUUAUGUGGUCAAGAGACUAUUAAAACCAUUUUUGUUACUCUUUUAUUUAUAGAAAAAAUCUCCUUGUUAGUAACGUGGGCUGUGACUUGAGUUCUCUGUUUUCAGGAUUCCUCGAGUGGUACUAGUAAAUUAGUUAUCAAGAGAAAGAGGGAAAGUAAGAGACUCUUUCUUUUUUAAUUGAUUUAUUGGGG
rnacentral:lncRNA from 1 species